rnacentral:rRNA from 1 species
GAUGAACGCUGGCGGCGUGCCUAAUACAUGCAAGUCGAGCGAACAGACGAGGAGCUUGCUCCUCUGACGUUAGCGGCGGACGGGUGAGUAACACGUGGAUAACCUACCUAUAAGACUGGGAUAACUUCGGGAAACCGGAGCUAAUACCGGAUAAUAUAUUGAACCGCAUGGUUCAAUAGUGAAAGACGGUUUUGCUGUCACUUAUAGAUGGAUCCGCGCCGCAUUAGCUAGUUGGUAAGGUAACGGCUUACCAAGGCAACGAUGCGUAGCCGACCUGAGAGGGUGAUAGGCCACACUGGAACUGAGACACGGUCCAGACUCCUACGGGAGGCAGCAGUAGGGAAUCGGCCGCAAUGGGCGAAAGCAUGACGGAGCAACGCGGCGUGAGUGAUGAAGGUCUUCGGAGCGUAAAACUCUGUUAUUAGUGAAGAACAAAUGUGUAAGUAACUAUGCACGUCUUGACGGUACCUAAUCAGAAAGCCACGGCUAACUACGUG